rnacentral:rRNA from 1 species
UACAGAGGUGGCAAGCGUUGUUCGGAAUUACUGGGCGUAAAGGGCGCGUAGGCGGCCUUCUAAGUCAGACGUGAAAUCCCUGGGCUCAACCCAGGAACUGCGUCCAAGACUGGGAGGCUUGAAUCCGGGAGAGGGAUGCGGAAUUCCAGGUGUAGCGGUGAAAUGCGUAGAUAUCUGGAGGAACACCGGUGGCGAAGGCGGCAUCCUGGACCGGUAUUGACACUGAGGCGCGAAAGCCAGGGGAGCAAACGGG